rnacentral:rRNA from 1 species
GAUCAUGGCUCAGGAUGAACGCUGGCGGCGUGCUUAACACAUGCAAGUCGAGCGAAGCACUUAAGUUCGAUUCUUCGGAUGAGGGCUUUUGUGACUGAGCGGCGACGGGUGAAGGUAACGCGUGGGUAACCUGCCUCAUACAGGGGGAUAACAGUUAGAAAUGGCUGCUAAUACCGCAUAAGACCACGGUACUGCAUGGUACAGUGGUAAAAACUCCGGUGGUAUGAGAUGGACCCGCGU